UUUCUUUUUUAAAUCUUAAAGCAUACUUGAUUAUUUAAAUAUUGUGAUUUUUACUUUAUUACAGUAAAUAGUCGAAAUUCAGGAGCCGAAUCCAGAGUGAAACGAACUUACAAGAGACUAAUACAUACCUAUUUACUUCCACAAAUACAGUAAACAGUCGAAAUCAAGGAGCCGAUCCAGAGUGAAACGAACUUACAGAGGCUUAAACAUACCUAUUUACUUCCAUAAAUACAGUAAAUAGUCGAAAUUCAGGAGCCGAAUCCAGAGUGAAACGAACUUACAAGAGACUAAUACAUACCUAUUUACUUCCACAAAUACAGUUUCGUCUACUACCAUGCUUCUAGAACAUUUGGGACAUGCUGGUACAAUAUGUUUUCGGCAGAUGGGUGAAUUACAAUGAAUACAAUGAAUAAAAUUUUAGAUAAUAUUAGUCAAAUGUCAGUAUAAUCUUGGAAGAAAACAAUGUUGAAAUCAAAUGAACGAAAAUAGUGACAUUGGUCAUUUUGAUCGUAAUUUUAUCAAUGAAUGGUAUAAGUUCAUGUUAACGAUAUAAAUUUACAUUAAAACACAAAACAAGUACUGUUCAUGGAUCGAAGAAAAGGUACUGAGUAGAAAAAGACGGAUAUGGUUCCAACUAUAAAUUAUUUAAGAAAUUAAAAAACUGUCGGUCAAAAAAAUCGAAGCCACUGAUGCCGGGUUAAGAGAAAAAAAAAAUCUUAAACUGGAAAAGAAUUUUAAAAAAAAAUAGAAACAAAAAUAUAUUGGAAAAAUUUUCCCGAAGUCAAAGUUUUUUGGAGGUCAAAAAAUGUGCAGUUUUCUCCAAAUAUGUGGAAUAAUCACCAAUGCCAUUGGAAUGUGACCACCAAUUUUUAUAUCCGGUGUCCAAUUCUACUUUUGUAGUGAUAGCAGGUCCAAGUGGCCUGUUAUCCUGCAACAUAAUUAUAAGAAAACUAUGUCAGAAUGAGAAAAUAAUUUUUGAACUUAAUUCAAUAUAACGUUGUUAAAAAUAAUUGUAAUAUAACCAAUGUCAUUCCCCCCUCUACAUCUCGGGGCAAUCCUGAUGACCGGUCUGCAACUCGGCCUUUGCGGUUCUGCCUUUGUCUUUUUCGUUUACUCACGCAAUCUUUUCGCAUUGGUCGCCAAGCGGAAUUACACGGGGCAAAAUUGUUCAUCCGUGACGCACGUCUGCGUUACACACGCAACGAUCGUUUUGGUUGCUGUUAUUCGGGUCCGCCCAACGGAGGCGAUGUCACUACUGCAUGUGUACGAACCCGGUCUAAAAUGUUGAAACAAUCGCCUACAUGGAAGUCGAUUUUUUCAUCGACUCCGUAUAUUUGGGAAUUUCGCCGUGCUAAUUAAAUUUUAGCCAGCUCAAUAUAAACAGCGAUAACUGAAAAAAAAAUACAAAAUUAUAGCUCGAACGUCAAAUUAUACACAAUAUAAAUGUUAUAUUAAAUGUUUAAAAUUGUUAAAAAAAAAAAAAAAAACGUAAGCCUUACCACGGCGACAUGUCAGAGCUAGUUGUAUGGCAUCGCCAACAGCACCACAAAAAGGAUCGACGACUGUGUUGAACGCGCAUCUUGACGCUAUGUGUACCGCGAGUAUUUCGUGGCACACGGAAAAGAAUUUUGCUGAAUAAUGAAAAUUAUGUGUUAGCAAAUAUAAUUAAUUAUAAAAUGACCUGAAAAAAAAAAAUUAAAUUUCUCGAAUUGUACAUACCAUUGACCAACACAACGCCUUCGUCGAACCUCGAGAACAAAGAGUAUCGCCUCUUCCAAUACUUUAACGUUGCGGUCAAAGUAUUGGUCUGAAAGUGUAACGCAUAAAGAAGAAAUGAUUAAAUGUUUGUGUUUUAAUUUAAAAUAUAGUUAAUCAUAAUUGUUAUUGACUUUCGGUUUCUCCAUUGUCCUUGGGUCUGUGGGGUUGGUGACGGGCUCUUUCGUGGCCUCCGGAGGCGGUACGCCAACUUGGUUGACUGAACAGUAAUUCUUCUUCGCGGGUACGACCCACGCGGGCGUAAAUAUUUCCGUUUCCGUUGAACAGUCGAUGGUUUAAUUCCAAUGUCAGUGGUUUGAACUUCAACGUCGGAACACUUCGGUGUCGUCUGCGAUCCGAAAUCGCGUCGACCGAAGUUCCACUCAGUUUGUGUGAACGCGUCACACCUGACCACCGACUUCUUCGGCAUGGCAAAACGCCGCGGGAGGACCAGAACACCAGUGGCAGCAAACCCACUCGCCACCGCUCGCUGCUGUCGGCUUCCGUAUGUCCUUGUACCGGGAGUUUUUCGUGGCUGCUGUAUACGAAAAAUGUAUUACAACACGGGACGUUCAAUUGGAAAAUUGUCAGUUUUAUUUGAAUCGAACAACAGAGAUGUUUUUUGUAUAAGAUUUUGCUAUAAACGACCUGCUUUUUUUUGUGGUCAAUCGGUCUCGUCAACUUUUUUCGGCCAUGGUGAUUUAUCUAGUAACGCCCGACGUUUUUCGACAACAUCCAACGAGUUUCCACGACCGGUUUGCAUAUUCCUAACAGUGACGUAGGAAGGCCUCGUAAUUUUGAAAAUUUGCAUUUCUCGCUCUAUGACUGGUAAAUUCAUCGAUCAUUUCUUCAUAUGAAUAUUUUAUUUAAAGGUCUUUCUACCAUUUUCAUAAUUUCAUCAUUGAGUUCACACGUAAUGUGUAAAUAUAGACAACAUCUACAUAUUUCAAAAAAUAUAAUGGAAAAUUUUCAAUUUGACUGUAGGAUAAAAUUGCAAUUUGCACCCCUGGCGUAGGCACAAUUCGUCAUACCCUUGUUACGACACUGUUUCGUAUCUAGACGGUACACGAUUCCUUGUUUAAACGCGGUCAACUAAUGACUACCAAUACUAUAGUUAUUUUUCUUUUUACUUUCUAUAUAUAAUAUAAAUGUUUUUAUGUUUUGACCGAAUGUUAAUAAUCGCUGUUCGCGUGUUAGGGUAUUAAAAGUAUUCAUCAUUAUUCACGGUUUUCGUUUUGGUCUCGCCUGCAGUUUAUACGAAAUAGAAAAUAUCGUACAAUAGAACUAGAUCAAACCGGCGUAACGUGACAAGUGUGUGACAACGCAGCAAUGUUUAAGUGUUAGAUUGUAUUCAAUAAAUAAUAUAGAAUACUGGUGACGAUUUUAUUUUAUUUUUAUUAACGUUUUAAAUAAAUCAACAUAAACGAAUUAAUAGUAAAACAACGAUGGUCAUGACAGGUAAAGUUUCUACACUGGACGACUGAAUAUGUCUAUAUUUAUCCGUAUUCCUUAUACGCUUCUGAGUCGCUUCCAUAUUCUUCGUUUUCUAGUUUUCCGUCAACUAGUUGGUUUUGUAACUUAUGUGUGUACGGCUCAAGAAUUUGCGGAUUCCGUUUACAUGAUUUUUUUUUG